rnacentral:rRNA from 1 species
UACGGAGGGUGCAAGCGUUAUCCGGAUUCACUGGGUUUAAAGGGUGCGUAGGCGGCUUGCCAAGUCAGUGGUGAAAGCCCGCGGCUUAACCGUGGAAUUGCCAUUGAAACUGGCUGGCUCGAGUGUGAUCGAAGUGGAUGGAAUACAUCAUGUAGCGGUGAAAUGCUUAGAGAUGAUGUAGAACACCAAUUGCGAAGGCAGUUCACUAAGUCAUAACUGACGCUGAGGCACGAAAGCGUGGGGAUCAAACAGG